ACAAAAACUUCAAAACUACACAAGACAUUUGAAAAUACUGGGGUAUUGGACAAUCGUUUCCUCCAUGUAACUACCACCAAUGAUCAGAUCCUUUGUACUGGCCACAGACCUCAAUCACUAUCAGGAAUAGAACAGACCAACCAAUAUGAAAAUAAAACACAACAGUAGUAUGUAGACAGAUUCCAGACACAGACAACAGUUUUCUAAGACGUACAUCCCUACACACAAUCCACAUCAAAUCACUCUUGGACUUGAUCAAUAUUUAUCCAGUUGUGUUCUGCAAGACCAAACAAGUCCUCAUGUCGGUUUCAAUUCAUCUCUAAUUGUACAAUGCAAACAUUACUAUUCUACAUGUAGAUCACAAAAUUAAGUUUAGAUUUGUGCUACACCAUGUUAUGAACAACAGCUGCAAUAUUUCAUAAAUCACUGCUGUUGUAUUUGAACAAUAAGACCAUGUGUUUUCAUUAUUUGGUCUCAAUUUUAAUUCAAGCUGGAC